rnacentral:rRNA from 1 species
AUUGAACGCUGGCGGCAUGCCUAACACAUGCAAGUCGAACGGAAACGAUGGGAGCUUGCUCCCAGGCGUCGAGUGGCGGACGGGUGAGUAAUGCUUAGGAAUCUGCCCAGUAGUGGGGGACAACCAGGAGAAAUUCUGGCUAAUACCGCAUACGCACUACGGUGGAAAGUGGGGGACCUUCGGGCCUCACGCUAUUGGAUGAGCCUAAGUCGGAUUAGCUUGUUGGUAGGGUAAUGGCCUACCAAGGCGACGACGGGUAGCCGGCCUGAGAGGGCGACCGGCCACACUGGGACUGAGACACGGCCCAGACUCCUACGGGAGGCUGCAGUGGGGAAUAUUGGACAAUGGGCGCAAGCCUGAUCCAGCCAUGCCGCGUGGGUGAAGAAGGCCUUCGGGUCGUAAAGCCCUGUCAGGUGGGAAGAAUCGUUCCGGCACUAAUAAUGCCAGAGCCUGACGGUACCACCAGAGGAAGCACCGGCCAACUCCGUG